rnacentral:misc_RNA from 1 species
AUGGACACCCAAUUAGAAAGAUUGAUGCGUUUUUCAGUCGAAAAGACAAAGGAUUCCACUGAGCCAUUGGUGGUAUCAAAAGUGUUCACAGAAUACAGUAAUUACUACUAACCGUGAAAAUGAUGGAUCGUAUAACGUCUAUUAUGAUCGAUUUCACAAUCAUCUGGCACCGAAAAUGGCAAAACUUGAGGAAUACAGUAUCGUGGAGCGUGUUCGAGUGAUAUUUGGAUUCGCUGGAAAAGUUUCCAAUGAUUUUCUGAAGCAAAUUCGAAGAGAAGGAAUUGUUGAGCUCGAUAAGAAAAAACAAAUUUGUAAAUUUUCGUCGCAUGAUGGAAAGAUUCUUCUGAACAGCGACAUCCGCCAAGCUCUUCAAACCCUGCUCUCCGUAGUUUCCAACUAG